AGAGUUUGAUCCUGGCUCAGGACGAACGCUGGCGGCGUGCUUAACACAUGCAAGUCGAACGGAAAGGCCCCUUUGGGGGUGCUCGAGUGGCGAACGGGUGAGUAACACGUGGGUGAUCUGCCCUGCACUCUGGGAUAAGCCUGGGAAACUGGGUCUAAUACCGGAUAGGACUACGGGAUGCAUGUCUUGUGGUGGAAAGCUUUUUGCGGUGUGGGAUGGGCCCGCGGCCUAUCAGCUUGUUGGUGGGGUGAUGGCCUACCAAGGCUGCGACGGGUAGCCGGCCUGAGAGGGUGUCCGGCCACACUGGGACUGAGAUACGGCCCAGACUCCUACGGGAGGCAGCAGUGGGGAAUAUUGCACAAUGGGCGCAAGCCUGAUGCAGCGACGCCGCGUGAGGGAUGACGGCCUUCGGGUUGUAAACCUCUUUCAGCAUCGACGAAGCGCAAGUGACGGUAGAUGCAGAAGAAGCACCGGCCAACUACGUGCCAGCAGCCGCGGUAAUACGUAGGGUGCGAGCGUUGUCCGGAAUUACUGGGCGUAAAGAGCUCGUAGGUGGUUUGUCGCGUUGUUCGUGAAAACUCACAGCUUAACUGUGGGCGUGCGGGCGAUACGGGCAGACUGGAGUACUGCAGGGGAGACUGGAAUUCCUGGUGUAGCGGUGGAAUGCGCAGAUAUCAGGAGGAACACCGGUGGCGAAGGCGGGUCUCUGGGCAGUAACUGACGCUGAGGAGCGAAAGCGUGGGGAGCGAACAGGAUUAGAUACCCUGGUAGUCCACGCUGUAAACGUUGGGCGCUAGGUGUGGGGACCAUUCCACGGUUUCCGUGCCGUAGCUAACGCAUUAAGCGCCCCGCCUGGGGAGUACGGGCCGCAAGGCUAAAACUCAAAGGAAUUGACGG
rnacentral:rRNA from 1 species